rnacentral:rRNA from 1 species
UAGCAAACAGGAUUAGAUACCCUGGUAGUCCACGCCCUAAACGAUGCAUAUUUGGUGUAGGUCAUUCAGUUGAUCUGUGCCGGAGCUAACGCGUUAAAUAUGCCGCCUGGGGAGUACAGUCGCAAGGCUGAAACUCAAAGGAAUUGACGGGGGCCCGCACAAGCGGUGGAGCAUGUGGUUCAAUUCGACGCAACGCGAAGAACCUUACCUGGGCUCGAACGGCUUCCCAACGGCGGUGGAAACACCGUUACUCCGCAAGGGGGUGGAGUCGAGGUGCUGCAUGGCUGUCGUCAGCUCGUGUCGUGAGAUGUUGGGUUAAGUCCCGCAACGAGCGCAACCCUUGUCCUGUGUUGCCAUCCCGCAAGGGGGGACUCGCAGGAGACCGCCAGCGAUAAGCUGGAGGAAGGUGGGGAUGACGUCAAGUCCUCAUGGCCUUUAUGUCCAGGGCUACACACGUGCUACAAUGGCCGGUACAAAGCGCAGCUAAGCCGCGAGGCGGAGCCAAUCGCAAAAAACCGGUCUCAGUUCGGAUUGCAGGCUGCAACUCGCCUGCAUGAAGCUGGAAUCGCUAGUAAUGGCGUAUCAGAACGAUGCCGUGAAUACGUUCCCGGGCCUUGUACACACCGCCCGUCACAUCACGAAAGUGGGUUGUACUAGAAGUCUGCAGGCUGACCCGCAAGGGAGGCAGCGGCCCAAGGUAUGACUCAUGAUUGGGGUGAAGUCGUAACAAGGUAGCCGUAGGAGAACCUGCGGCUGGAUCACCUCCUU